ensembl:lncRNA
CGGCAGCCCACCGCCGCUCCCCACUCUGACAUUGUGUCCAGGCAACAAAGACGUCCUGGCACCCCCUCAUUAUAAAUACAUGUCAUUGGAUCACCGUUCGUCUGAACCCCUAAGUCUGCUGUGCUCUAAGUGGCCGUGACUGAGCCCUAAAUGGGUGGCCGAGCGACAACUAUACCAAUAGAGCAAGCCCUGUGCGUGUUGUGUGUGUGUGUGUGUGUGUGUGUGUGUGUGUGUGUGUGUGUGUGUGUGUGUGUGUGUGUGUGUGUGUGUGUGUGUGUGUGUGUGUGUGUGUGUGUGUGUGUGUGUGUGUGAGAGAGUGAGUGUGUGUGUGUGUUGGAGUAGACAGGAGCGGCCCCCAGCCUAUGGGAGGGAGAUCUUUCACAGCAGGGAAGGUCAGAGGUCACACCGACUGUUAGACAUACACAUAUAUAUGCACACACGAACACACAGGCACGCAAACACCCACCCACUGGGUACUCGAUAUAUAGAUUGUUAUUUGCUUAACUUUUAGAGAAAACUUUUCGAAGACACAAACUUUGUUUUAGAGUGUAAAAUAAUGAUGUUUUAUUUAUGAUCAAGCUGUAGUAUAUUAAGUGUUAACAGUACCAUAUGUAUGGUAGCUCUUCCAUUAAACUGGGCCAGUCUUUUACUGCUGCCUCAACAAAAGACCUACAAAUGUAUUCCUGACUCCAAAAAGAGGGAUGUAUGUGCUCAUGGGUGUGUGUGUGUGUGUUUGUGUGUAUAUGUGUGUGUGUGUGUGUGUGUUUGCAUGUGUUUGUGUGUGUGGUUGUGUGUGUGUGUGUCUGUGUUUGUCUGUGUGUGUGUGUGUCUAUGUGUGUUGGUGUGUCAGUGUGUGUGGUUGCGUGUGCGUGUGUUAAAAUAGAGCCUAUCUCGGUUGGCAGCAGAGAUGCAAAAGCAGCUCCUUCCCCCUGGAACUUGUAAACCAGGCCAUGGUGUUGACGUCACAUCCCUCUCCUCCCUCUCUCUUUGUAGCUCUCUUUUAUGUCUCUCCUUUAAUCACUCCAUCUUCUAUCCAUUGCUCAAGCUGUAUCAAAGCUUCAGUUUCUUACAACUCGGUCUCAGCACAGUGUCACUUAUACCUUAACUGAAGUUUCCGGUAACAAAAGACAAAACAUUGACUUGGCAGAGACGCCCAAAGGUGUUGAGCUUCUUGAACACAAAAAAAUAGCAAUUUCUUCUAAAUUAUUCUUCAAACAAUAAAAAAAUAUCAGCAUCGUACAAAUCAUAGAAUAGUUUCUCUUAAGUUGGCCAAUCAUUUGAGUACAUAACAUGGGCGGUGUGGGAACGUACGGGUGAGCCCGACCUUACAAUAUGUAGAGAGGAGAGUCAUGGUGGAGAGCUUAACCAUUGGAGUGAAGCAGCCAUCUUCAUCUAUAUUUAUUCAACUAUUAUAGCUGCUUAUAAUAACUGACACCCUAUCUGCACGGUCUUAUGUGCGUGUUUAACUAAAUUUGCAAUUUGCACGUAUGUGCAAGAGUGCAGACGUGUGCAUGUGUGUGAGUGCUCGUGUGUGUGUGUUUGUCCCGGGCGUGCAUUCUGCACAUUGUCCGCAUGUAUACUGAGCUCAUUAAUGCAGCCUGAUGACAAUGAAGGCAGCCCGGGCUGGCGGCUGGCCAUUCUAAUCACGCCUGUUUGCCCGCCAUCUCCGCCAUCACCUUCCACUACAUGCGUCUCCUCCUCCCACUCACCACCGCAAGGACCCCACAAGGCUGUCCGCGGACAGAGCCUGCUGGGAAAGAGAGAGGUGGCAUGAUGAGGGUGUUCCGAGGAGGGCGGAGGGAUUUGGGUUCAGGCUUCAUGUUUGUCCUCCCCCUCCUGCAUUCAGGGCUCUGUUUUGCAUGACAUUUGACGGACGAGACGCUAAUCCUAACUGUCUCGCCGUGUGUGCUGAGAUUAACAGGGAAGAUGCUCAGAAUGAUCACCAAUGGCUGGAUUAUAGUCCUGAUAGAGCACCCCUUUGUUCCAACAUAUAAACCACUCUCCUUCCCUCUCUCUCUCUCUCUCUCUCUCUCUCUCUCUCUCUCUCUCUCUCUCUCUCUCUCUCUCUCUCUCUCUCUCUCUCUCUCUCUCUCUCUCUCAUUCACUCGGGGGGAAUGAUUAUUGAAGUAGGCCUAGUAGAAGUGUAAUUUAGAAAAUGUUGUAUGCUUUCUAAAAUCCAUAUUCGAUGAAAAACACAGCAUGAUAUUUUUUGUGUGAGUUUAAAUUAUUUCAGGUCAGCUGGUGGACAGUUAAGGCUUAUGCUCUGGUUAUGAAAGUUAUUAGUCUGGCGGAUAGCUGAAUAAAUACAACAGAUACAAUGAAAUGUCUGUUGUUGUGAGGCACUCACUCAGAUCCCAGUGAAACCUCAAUGAUUUUAAAAUUAGAACAUAAUGUUCUGCAAACCUUGCCGCUUCUAGUCAUAUUUUUCCCCAACAAUGAAUGACUGCGAUAGCUGCUUUUUCUUGUUUAAGGUGUUACCAAAACGAAAAUACAAAACUCUGAAUCGCUUUGCAAGUAAAACAAGACACUCAAUUCCUCUUUUAUGCAAACGUUUCUCAGUGGAAGCCUACUGUUCUAGAUCUGAGAGUGUGAGAGGGAAACACAAUGAGAAUAAUAAAAUGGACAAUAAUGAAUAGCAGGUGAGCAGAGAGGAGAAGAGGCAUGAGAGACGGAUUGUGAGUAGAGAGAGAGAGAGAGAGCGAGCGAGAGAAAGAGAGAGAGAAAGUGAAAGAGAGACAGAGAGAAAGAGAUACGAGUCUCUAAAAGGUGUCAAUGCUCAGCUUCCUUUAGGCAUGAGUGAGAGACUAUGAGGCCCACUGAGCCUCUGAAUGGGAAGGCAUACAUAUAAACACACACACACACACACACACACACACAUUGAGACAGGUCUAUGGAUCUUUUGAGAGGACAUGGAAGAGCCGUCCCUUUCUGCAGAGCUAAUGAAGCCUACAGGAACCGCCAUAGAGCAAGGGAGGAGUGAGCGAGAGGGAGAGAGAGAGAGAGAGAGAGAGAGAGAGAGAGAGAGAGAGAGAGAGAGAGAGAGAGAGAGUUUAGAGCCGUGCUCCCUCGCCCAUUCACUCACUUCCUUUCCUUUGCAAAGUUCCUGAUGAGGUAAUGCUUUCCCCCUUCAAGGGAUAUGAUGACUGAUAAUACCCCUCAAUAGCCGGUGCAUUUAAACUGUUAAACAAGCUGUUCCCCGAGAGGGGAAAACUACAGCCAAAAUAUCUCCUUCACAGAAGGCUGAAUGCAAGCUCUAAGAAGGACGCAAGUGAAUGCAUCAAUAGUCAUCGACAAGCCUGGGUGUAUUCGUAUUUUAAGUCCUAAUUGGGGAAAAAAACUAUCGGCGGCAGUGAAGAAGGAAGAGCGGAGGCCCUCACAACGUGGAAAAUCAAUCCAGAGUGUUGGGCCUGAGAGGAAGUACUCCAUUAGGUAUCCAGAGGAAGCUGUCUGUCAACGUUACCGUCAUUGUCCAAAGUUAUAUCGUCGAGUAGCAGCCUCUCGUCGAAGAAGCUGUUCCAUACGUCCCCCACCCGUUGAGAGAGAACUCCUGCACCCCGCAAGAGCCCGGUAGUCCCCCACUCCUCUGGGGCACUGAAUCACCCGCACAGAGUGCAGUGUCAGUUCCACUGAAGCCGGCAAGAUUUGCUUAUAUUGGCUUCAUAUAACUCUACUGUGCUUGUAGCACCUUAGACAUCCCUCGGAUAUGUUGCCGUGGCAAAGGUUCCUGUAACGCCGCCGUGAUUUAACGGGACGUCACAUCCUGACCUUUCAGCCACCAAACUGUGACUGAAUGCACGUCAUAAGUUAGCGCAGAGUACUGCGCUGCACUGCUAUACUGCUGCUGGAUAUUAAUGUCCCUACCCCUCCACUAAAAACAACAACAAAGAGCGGGCUAUUUUAAACCAAUGAGCCUGAAAAAGUGUUGAAUAUAUUUUGCAGAUUUAUGGUCGUAAAAGUCUUCAAAGUUCUAUAACAAAUUCAUCCGUUGGCUGCAUGUGUCUCUGCCUUCUAAUUGGUCUGUGGUACAAACACACACACACACACACACACACACACACACACACACAAACAGGUAUACACAGACAUAUGCACACACACACACACACACACACACACACACACACACACACACACACACAC